UUAAUGCCUGUCUGACUUGUGUAGUUCAGUGUUUGGGAGAAAUUAAUAAACGUUGCUCCGGAAAUAUUUAGUCCUGGGAUUUAGUACGACCGUGAAUUACAACAACUUCAAGCUAGCUAGAUAAUUAUGUACCCUUUAUGUCAGUUCUGGACUUAAAACGAAGUAGAUAGACCACAGACUUCUCAUUCAAACAGCGAGGAUGCUAGUGCUAACAUGGUGGACCUAUUUAUUUCCCAUGGAGGAGGAUAAUGAGGAGGAAGAUGAGGAUGAAGAAAAAACCCGCCUGGAUGAGCUACACCACACCCUGUCUGGAGGAGUGUUGCUGUCUCUGUUUGAUUGACAGCAGCUGGUACACCGAGCUCCUGCAGGGAACAACAGAUGAUUGAAACAAACCUCUGCGCCGCAUCAACAGACAACAUGCAGAUCAAGACUGAAGUUUUUGGAAUAGUUGAUCUGUGGAGGGGGGAUCAGCAGCAGUGUUGGUUUGGAGCCGUUAUUGUCUGAUGGUAAAAACACCUGCUGAACCAAGACGGAGAAAGCUGAACUGAACUGAACUGA